ensembl:lncRNA
CUGUGUUUUAGCUCUUUUUCAUUCAAAAGGUAAUGCUGCUUACCAUUGGUAAGUUUAAAUUUUUGAUACCCACCAUUGUUGGUAAUGGCUCGUUAGAUGUUUGAAAAUGUGCAUAUUAUUAAACAGUAAUAUCCGUUGUACAUUUCUGUUUGGCAGGUGUGAAAUGCACAUGUGUGGAUGGUUCUAAUACACUGCCUUGCCUUUGUGCUUGAAAGCUGUCACCUGUAUGUUUUGUGGAUUUCCAGUGACUAUUGUCAGCAACCAUUGCCUGUGAAUAUCAGAGAAAGAAGAGAACCAGGGAGAGGCACGCUUUGAUUUUUCAGCAAGAAAUGUAUGAAGAUGGAAAGCAAAGAGUGUUUUCAAAACCAAAGCAUUGAUCCACUCACAGAGGUCAGUGGUGCAAACUCACAAACUGGUGGUGGAGGGAUCUUCCUGCAGAAAGAGCAAGCUGGCCCCUGGAAACUGAGUGUGUGUGCAAGUUCUUACCUCUUCUGCCUCAUGUUACAGCCCUUUAUCGAAAUCCUGAGGGUUCUGAAGAAUGGAUUUUGGUGUCACCAGGAGACAGUUGUCUCACACAUGGAUUGGUACCAACUGUAUUGAGCAGAAUACUGAGGAUGUUUGAAAGUGCUGUUAAUUCUGAAAAAGAAACUUAUUUUGCUAUGGACUACUCUCUGUCAUCUUAAAAGUGUGGAGUCUUAAGAUACAUAUAAAAUGUCUAAAAUAUGUAAGAGAAGAAAAAUCUAUGUAAAAUUUCUCUAAAAAUCCAGAUAAAUUAUGGUGUAUUUAUGAUGUACAAGAACUUAAAGUACCUCUUCUCUGUAUUCAGUAUACUGGGGAGUCCAUUCAGAUGUGUGGGCUGUCAUACCUAUUGAUGCUUUUAAAUUGACUGAAAUGAAAAUAACUUCUUAAAGUCUUAUUGUACAAAGUGUGCAGUUAUUGAAUUCCAUUAUUGAGUGUGAUAAGAAUCUCGGAGGUCUCAGUGGCUGUUUUAUUGCUGGAGUACAUUGCACAUGCCUGCUGAAAUGAACUCUGUGCAUUACACUUAAAUGGGAAGCAGUCUGCUUCCAGACCUUACAGCCUUUAAGUAUCACACAAGAAGAAAACAUGGCAAGAUAAGAAAAUGUAAUGCCAAUAAGGCAUCCUGUGAUGAAAAACAAAUGCAAAGUACAUUUCUGAUUUAUCAACUUUUUGAAUUCCUCUGUUUUCUUUCCAUACCUGGAAGAAAAGUGUACUGUUGUUUACCCCCAGGACAAGGCCUGAGGUGGUGAUUUGAUUAAUCUUGAUAAGCAGUGCUAGGUACAGUUGUGGGAGGAGGUCAAAGGUUCAUAUAAACACCACCUGGCUCCAUUAGUUUUACUACAAGUAUCAUAGUUUUUUAUGCUAGUUAACUCUGGGAAGACUUAUCUAUGACAUGCAAACUUGAGUGAGUGAACACAGGAAUGUAAAUGUUCAACAUGAAACAUGAAAAUGUUUAACAAAUACGUUGUAAAGGUUGCUUAAAUAUUUUAAUUAAUAAUAGGCAAUUUUUUUUUUUUAAGUGUAUGAUGAGGACAGCAUAAUCUUUUCCCCAGAAGGCCUUUCUGUCAAAAGAGUUUCUUUGUAAAUUCUUCCUGUGUCUUGGUAUUAUGUAAGCUAAAAGUCCCUUGGCUACAAUAAGUAUUGGUUAGCUGACCUUUUGAAUCAACAUUUUAAAUAGUUUUUUUUUCAGCCCAAAGUUAUUUGUAAAUGAAACAAAUGAAAUUACUUUAGAUUCAUUACUUGUCAUGCAAGUUUAUGGUAGAAUAACCCAAAUAACACAUGCAGGAGUGCUGCAAUUGUAGUUUCUGUAUUCUAAGGGCAUUUUUGAGACUCUUUGUAUCUUUGCCCAAUCAUCUUUCCACAAUUUCAGACCAGACAGAAGCUUUUCAGGAAGAGGACUGAUAGGACUCUAAGACCCUGCCAAAGAAAAGCAGUAGAUCUUUCACAAGAGUGCCCACCUAAGAUGAUUUUAUUUUUUUUCCCCUGCUUUAAGGUUAAGUGACAACUAUUCCAAAAAAGGACCUGAGAUUCCUAGGAAACAUGCAGGAGGAUAUGAAACAAGUGUGGCCAUGCACUGGAAUGAGCCCAUGGGAGGGUCACCAGUAUCAUUAGAGACCUGUAGCACAUGAAGCACAAGAGUAGAGAGCAGGCUUUAUUCAGCCUUUGGGAAGGCUAAAGGGAGACCUUGUGACAAACACUUGGUUGAAAGUACAUAGCAAGAACUAAGAGGCAACAGACACAAGUGGCAACAAAUGAAAUUGUGAGGCAUUAGAAAAAAUCAUAUUCACAUCAAGGUGUAGUCGAAUAUUUAAAAUAAUUGUUCAGAGAGAGAUGAAAUAUCCAUCCUCAGGGAUAUUAAAAAUUCACCUGGACAAGGUUCUGAGUAACCUGCUUUGAACAGGGAAUCAGAUGAUCUUCAGAGGUCCUUUCUGAAUUGUUCUAUGAACCCUGGGGGAGAAAAGGGAAGAACAAAAGAGUUUAUUUAGAAAAAAAAAAUCUUAUGGCUCUGAAGUGAAUUGUGUGUUGCAAUGUUAAAACUGACCCAUGGAAGAAAAUCUGGACAUUUUGAGAGACAUGUCUUGGAAAAACAUCUAGAUGAAGUCUCUCCCUAUCCUGUAAUUUGACAAAGAUAUUUAUCUUUGUACUUCUUCACCUUCCUCAGCUGUAGGGAACAUCUGUUCCAUGAGAGUUACCAUCUCUUCAUUAAUUUAUAUCUGCAGACGGGAAAAAAAGAUAAGAAAAAUUGAACUUCAGAAAAAACCUAGGAAAAACAAUAUUCUCUUGAUUGUUUUUUCAUUGUAGCCUUUCUCACACUUAAGGAAGUUAUCCUUGAAAACUGUAAGAGCACACUUUGUGACAAAAGAUUGCUUUAGACCUCCUAUGAUUUCCAUAAAAUGGUCUCACAUGCUUUUAAGAAGAAGGCAGUGUGUAAUUACAAUAAAAUAAAAAAAAAAAAAUUCA